UACGGGGGGGGGCAAGCGUUGUUCGGAAUUACUGGGCGUAAAGGGCGCGUAGGCGGCCUGCUAAGUCGGACGUGAAAUCCCUCGGCUCAACCGGGGAACUGCGUCCGAUACUGGCAGGCUUGAAUCCGGGAGAGGGAUGUGGAAUUCCAGGUGUAGCGGUGAAAUGCGUAGAUAUCUGGAGGAACACCGGUGGCGAAGGCGGCAUCCUGGACCGGUAUUGACGCUGAGGCGCGAAAGCUAGGGUAGCAAACGGG
rnacentral:rRNA from 1 species